rnacentral:rRNA from 1 species
UACGUAGGGGGCAAGCGUUGUCCGGAAUCAUUGGGCGUAAAGAGCGUGUAGGCGGCCUGGUAAGUCCGCUGUGAAAGUCCAGGGCUCAACCCUGGAAUGCCGGUGGAAACUGUCAGGCUCGAGUCCGGAAGAGGCGAGUGGAAUUCCUGGUGUAGCGGUGAAAUGCGCAGAUAUCAGGAGGAACACCGGUGGCGAAGGCGCUGCUCUGGGCCGGUACUGACGCUGAGGUGCGAAAGCGUGGGGAGCAAACAGG